UUUACUUACCAUGGCUAAGAUUUGUUUUCCUCAAGAGAGACCAUACAUGCACAUUUUGUUCAGAUAAGACUUUUUCUAGCUUUCAGAGUGACUUGCCCUUAACUUGAAGUACUUUAUUCAGGCUUUUUGCACUUUAGAUCUUGCUUGAAGAAAUCACCAACAUUUUUACGUGAAGGUACAUAUUUGUGAUACCCACCCCCAGUUACUCAGUUGGUCACCUUUCCAAGUGGCUACUAGCUCUGUUCAUAGUCUUUUGACCAUUGGAACAAUCUUAGAUUUGUGCUUUUGAGGUCUUUGCCUUUGCUGAAUUUUCUUUCUCUCAAUGAUUUGGGCAAAUCAACACCAAUUGCUAAAUCAAGCCACAUUAAGUUCAUUCACACAACUUUCAAUUUAUUCUCAUCAAUUGAGGGUCAUCAAUAUAUUUUUCACCAUGGCAAGCUCAAAGAUUCAAUUCAAAAGGCAAUUCUCAAACAUGAAUAUAACUCACUGCAAUUGAUUCAACAUAAGUUUAAAGAGUCAUCACAUCAAUGGGGUCAUGGAAAGAAAAGCUCAUCCAACAUAGUUCAUAUGAUGAGUAAAGCAUCUCAAAAACGAAAACAAAAUAAAUAAUAAAAAAAACUGUGGCUAUCUGUGUGUGUUAUUGAAAGCAAAAAUGAAAAAUUUCAACUAAUGCAAGCAAACUAAAAAUCAGAGCAAAAAUAAACUCAAAAAGUAAAAAUUCAGAAAUAUGCACCCCCACACCUAAAUCAUGCA
rnacentral:lncRNA from 1 species